AGCAGUGAAGGAUAUUGGUCAAUAGCCACACGGCUGAACCAGCAACUUGGAAGAAUGAAUAACGAAUAUCUCGUAUAAAAUUCUAGAUAGAAAACUGAUAAUGACAACUAUUUAUCUAUUAGUCUUGACCAAAUUACGUGCCAGCAGUCGCGGCAACACGCAGAAGACAAGUGUUAUUCAUCUUUAAUCGGUUUAAAGGGUACCUAGACGGGAAAUCAAGCCAUAGUAGGGACUAAUUUUCUAGAGUUUUAUGGAAGAAAGUCGAAUAUCUGGAGUAGAGAUAUAAUAUGGUAAUACCAGAGAGACGGGUAACGGCGUAGGCAACUUUCUAUGUAAAAACUGACGUUGAGGGACGAAGCCCUGGGUAACGAGAAGGAUUAGAUACCCCAGUAGUCCAGGGAGACAAUGAUGAAUGCCAUAGGCUAGAUAAAUUAGUCUAUAAAUGAAAGUGCAAGCAUUCCACCUCGAGACUAAAGCGGCAACGCCCAAAUUGAAAUCAUUAGACCGUUUCUGAAACCAGUAGUGAAGUAUGUUAUUUAAUUCGAUGAUCCGCGAAUAACCUUACCACGUUUUGAAUACUAUUCAAUUAAUACAAGCGCUGCACGGCUGUCUUUAGUUAAUGUCGUGAGACUUUGGUUAAUUCCUUUAAUUAACGCAAACCCUUGUUUUAUUUAUUCAUAAAACAGUUCUCCACUAUAUUGGAUAAGAUAUUUGGGAUUAAGGCAAGUCAUCACGGCCUUAAUAUCGUGGGCUCUAGGCGGGCCACAUAUAUCACAGAGAAGGAUGCUCUC
rnacentral:rRNA from 1 species